GGUGGAAAGAUGACAGACAGUGAAUUGCCUGUACUACGAAAGAUGUCAGGCGGAGUCAUCGUCAUCGUCAGCCUGCUGGCCAUCCUUUCCUGCAGGUCACCCGUGGAAGGUCAAGGUCAACAAAUGGUCAAGAAGAAUAGCUGGUGGACUAAGCGAGGCCUCCUCCUCCCUCUUCCCCCCUCAUCCCCUCGCUCCGUCAUGGAAGGAAGAAGAGAGGAAGGAGGACAGAUUCCGGAAGACAAGGAAGACAUCAUUGGAGACCUCGCACCCUACGACACCUAUAACCUGAGGGGGACAGCAGGAAAAGGUUCGGACCAAUCAGAGGUUAACGAUCGAGCCUUGGACCAAUCAAAUGAGGGAUACGCUCUGACGUCACUUCGAGCUGCUAUUUGCCGGCCAAUCUCCCGCCAAAACCCGCCCGACAUGGCUAUACUGCUGUGCUUGAACCCGCGACCCUUCAGAGCUACUUAAGAAUAUGACCUAACACAUAUAUACAAGACAAAGUAAGUAUAUGUAGGUAAAGGGACAGACGUUCGCCCCUAUCUCUCCCUGACCCCCUUAGCAUUGUAAGCUACGGUGGCGUUAGGUGGUUAAGGUGAUUUGGGCUACACUGUAGGACAACAUUCUUGUACUUCGUCGUGCUCCAGGUUGUUGUUACGAGUGAAUAAAUGAUGAGGUCGUGUUGA